rnacentral:rRNA from 1 species
AUACGGAGGAUCCAAGCGUUAUCCGGAAUCAUUGGGUUUAAAGGGUCCGUAGGUGGAUAAUUAAGUCAGAGGUGAAAUCCUGCAGCUCAACUGUAGCAUUGCCUUUGAUACUGGUCAUCUUGAGUUAUAAUGAAGUAGUUAGAAUAUGUAGUGUAGCGGUGAAAUGCAUAGAUAUUACAUAGAAUACCGAUUGCGAAGGCAGAUUACUAAUAAUAUACUGACACUGAGGGACGAAAGCGUGGGGAGCGAACAGAAUUAGAUACCCUAGUAGUCC